GUCACAGGCCUUUCCAGUGUCACUACUGUCCCUACAGUGCCUCGCAGAAGGGGAACCUGAAGACCCACGUCCUCUGCGUCCAUCGAAUGCCUUUUGACAACAGCCAGUAUCCCGACCGCAGGUUCAAACGUUCCAGGGUCGACGCGGAGGCUUCUGGGAAUCUUGAGGAGGCUGCGGCUGUCAAGGCUGGGAGCUUUGCUGAGCUCACAGAUGAGAGAGGCAAAGGCCAGGAGGAAGGCAACUGAGCAGAGCCGCCCACUGCGCGACACACCUCUCUACAGUUUGAAAUCAUGCAUCUGGGCUCACCAGUUUGCUAACUGCAUUCCAAGGGGAAAGUCAUGUACAACCCCUCACUAGUGUAUAGAACAUUUAAAAGAAUUUUAAAAGAUAUCUAUCUAUAUAUAUAUUAAAAAAAAAUCCCCCAGCCCUUGAACAUGGCUGCUACACUGUUACCCAGUAACAAGAACUUCCAAGAAAUGCAGGUGGGAGAAAGUGAUUUUAGAAAUGGCCCCCGUGUCCCUCAAGCUCCGAUAGCUGGAGGUCCUUCUAUCCCAAAAGUCAUCUUUGUCCAGAAAAACCCAAAAGGAAACAAAAAACAAAACAAACAACAAACCCACAACUAUACCGUUCGAGCGAUUUAGGGUCGCCUCGAAGGGUCUGUGUUCUUCUUAAAAACACCUCUAUAAUCUGACACCAGCUGCUGUCCUUCGCCACCGUCCUAAUGAGAGGAGCUGGGAGGCAGCUGAGGUGCCAGUCAGACUGGGGCGGUCACUGCAGGGAAAAUCAAUUCACAUGGUGUCACUCUGCGCUCUGGGAGAAAUCCUAGCCGGCCCACAUGCAGUCAGAGAGCGCCAGGCCUGACCAGUGCUGCCGAGGAUGGUAAUCUAAAGUGUGCUUAAAAAAAAAAAAAAAAAAAANNNNNNNNNNNNNNNNNNNNNNNNNNNNNNNNNNNNNNNNNNNNNNUGGAUUAAAUUGCAGUACAGAAAGACAUGCAUUUCAUUUUAUUAUUUUCUGUCCUGGGUUUUACUUUUUUGUAAACGUCUGGAUGAAGGAGAGAAGGUUUGCCAUUAAAAACAAAUUGUAGAAAACGUUCUAGAAACUGUCAUUAGGAAGUCGGAGCAGCUCUUCUCUCUGUAGAAAGUUCUGGUGACUGACGGCAAUUUCUUUGCUAAUGGGAAGCCUGCUUUAGAUUGUGUUUUGAAACAUUAUUUCUUUUUACUAGAAUGAAGUCUAUCCUGGCCCUUGUUACCAGAUUUCUCCUUUCAUGUGUUACUUUUUAAGUGUUGUGGGCAUGAAGCAAGAUUUUUUUUUCUCCCUCCAGUGAUUUCUUCGACAAUAACUUGUAUUAAAACAUGAAUCUAACCCCCCCCCACCCAGAUGUCUGUCACUAAUGAAGAAAACAGUUUGAGUUAGAAUGUUCAUUUCUUUGAAACAAACGUGUUCUGUACUUCUGUAGAUGAUAGUGAUUUGAACACUCAGAUUUUAUUAAGCUCUGCACCGCACUGAUGGAGAUUUUGAGGGUUGACAAGGAAACACAGCUCACAAAACAACAAAAACAAAAACAAGGAUGUAAGAAAAGUCCCAGAAGGGUUCUUCUGGAACAUGCUAGAACGUUAUAAAAGUCCCCACCUUCUAACAUACUUCCUUUGAGUGACAUGAAAUUGGUACCGUUGCUUGUGAUGGCGGAGAUGUAGUGAGGUAUUAACUUCGAAAGCGAAAUCAUUUAUACUUGGAGAGAGAGAGAGAGAAAAAAAAAAGUCAAUAAUUCCUUUUAGUCUGGGAGCACACUGUAAAACCCCAGGGCCUUAAAAACUUCAACUCUGCCUAUAGCAGUUUACAAAAAUACUAAGCUGCAAUCAAUGUAAAUAAAAUUCUUAGCACUAUCCUGAGACUGAAUUUCAGGCUAAUAAGGAAUUCGGUUUGCAUAUGCUGUCAAAAGGGUGUCAUCCGACCUGGGUUUCACUGGGAAUGAGGCCGCUGGGCAGCGUGGACCCAUCUGGCAUAAAGCAAGCUGCUUUCUUGCUGGUUUUCUUUUCUUUUCUUUUUUUCAUUUCUUUUCUUUCUUCCUUUUUUUUCUCUCUCGCCCCACCCCCUUCUUUAGAAUAGUUCUCACUGCCUUACUUAACUCAAGUUGGUCAACUGUGGCUGUCUCUGUGGUCCACAGGAGGCCUGGAGACGCUGGUGGAAAAAAAAAAAAAGUCUGACCGUAGUAAGCAUUUAGGGUUUUAACUGCACUGCUGUGUUUGGUGACUGUGCCAGUGGCUUGCUUUCUGUGUGUUUGCCCCACCUGUGGUAUCUUAGCAAAGAAAACUUAAAACAAUAAAAUAAAAUAAAAUUAAAAAAAUAAAUAAAAAGGAAAAAAAAGUGGAAAAAAGAUUUAAAAAAAAAAAGAAAAAAGAAAAGAAAGAGCAGGAGAGAGAUCCACAUUCCAUGUCUAGCACUUUGGCGCUGGUACAGUAUCUUUUGUGCCCCCCAAGCAUCUUCAGAUGCUACAGGCAAUAAUUCUGUUUGUGACACUGGGAACAUCCUCCUCUUCUUUGUGGCGUGUGUGUUGAUCCCACUUUGUCCUGUCCUACUAGCCGCCCCUCUUUCCCUCUGACACAGGCUUUCUUUCCGGAACAUUUGUGACUUGUACCACAAGCCCGUGGCCGCCUCUGUGAUGCAGUGUCAGCGUCGCGUGUCAUCAGGCUCUUGUAUCUGCACACCUCAGCCCCUCCCCCGUGACUUCUGUAGUCUGUGACGCUGUCCCCAACCCUGUCUACAUUCUAUCUUGGAGGAACUCUGAGAUCAUAGAGUAGAGGAGUUUGUCGCUAUGCUUGUAACAAGUAGAACACUUUGUAUUUAAAGUUUAUUCUUGGUCAUUAUUUAUUAUUAUAAUACAUCAGUUGACAGAACUUUAUUCUGGUAUAGAAAGUAUUAAAAGUUGUUUUUUUUUCAGCGAUGACUGUUUCCUUUCUGCUGUUAGGAAUAAAAUGUCUUUGAAGCAGUCCAGUUUUAUCCGGUGUUUUAUGCAGUAAAACCUCUACCUUUGCAAAACAAAAAUCCAAAACCAAAACAAAGUAUAUCUUUGCUGAGUCCUACAAAGAAUAAAACCUACUUCUCUGUGCUUGU
ensembl:lincRNA